UACGUAGGGUGCAAGCGUUAAUCGGAAUUACUGGGCGUAAAGCGUGCGCAGGCGGUUUUGUAAGUCUGUCGUGAAAUCCCCGGGCUUAACCUGGGAAUGGCGAUGGAGACUGCAAGGCUAGAAUCUGGCAGAGGGGGGUAGAAUUCCACGCGUAGCAGUGAAAUGCGUAGAGAUGUGGAGGAACACCGAUGGCGAAGGCAGCCCCCUGGGCUAAGAUUGACGCUCAUGCACGAAAGCGUGGGGAGCAAACAGG
rnacentral:rRNA from 1 species